UGUCCGGAAUUAUUGGGCGUAAAGAGCUUGUAGGCGGUUUGUCGCGUCUGCAGUGAAAAUCCGAGGCUCAACCUCGGACUUGCUGUGGGUACGGGCAGACUAGAGUAUGGUAGGGGAGACCGGAAUUCCUGGUGUAGCGGUGGAAUGCGCAGAUAUCAGGAGGAACACCGAUGGCGAAGGCAGGUCUCUGGGCCAUAACUGACGCUGAGAAGCGAAAGCAUGGGGAGCGAACAGGAUUAGAUACCCUGGUAGUCCAUGCCGUAAACGUUGGGCGCUAGGUGUGGGGCUCAUUCCACGAGCUCCGUGCCGCAGCUAACGCAUUAAGCGCCCCGCCUGGGGAGUACGGCCGCAAGGCUAAAACUCAAAGGAAUUGACGGGGGCCCGCACAAGCGGCGGAGCAUGCGGAUUAAUUCGAUGCAACGCGAAGAACCUUACCAAGGCUUGACAUAUACCGGAAACAUCCAGAGAUGGGUGCCCCGCAAGGUCGGUAUACAGGUGGUGCAUGGUUGUCGUCAG
rnacentral:rRNA from 1 species